rnacentral:rRNA from 1 species
UGAGGAAUAUUGGUCAAUGGGCGAGAGCCUGAACCAGCCAAGUCGCGUGAAGGAUGAAGGUUCUAUGGAUUGUAAACUUCUUUUAUGGGGGAAUAAAGUGCGGGAUGUAUCCUGUUUUGUAUGUACCUCAUGAAUAAGCAUCGGCUAACUCCGUGCCAGCAGCCGCGGUAAUACGGAGGAUGCGAGCGUUAUCCGGAUUUAUUGGGUUUAAAGGGUGCGCAGGCGGCGCGCCAAGUCAGCGGUCAAAGUUCCGGGCUCAACCCGGUGUCGCCGUUGAAACUGGCGUGCUCGAGUGCGUGCGAGGAAGGCGGAAUGCGUUGUGUAGCGGUGAAAUGCAUAGAUAUGACGCAGAACUCCGAUUGCGAAGGCAGCUUUCCAGCGCGCUACUGACGCUGAGGCACGAAAGCGUGGGGAUCGAACAGGAUUAGAUACCCUGGUAGU